CAUUUGACCUCAUGAUCAACCCACCUCAGCCUCCCAAAGUGCUGGGAUUACAGGCAUGAGCCACUGGACUGGGUCCUCUCUGCUAUUUUCUGUAACAGUGGUCAUUGACCCUGUCUUGAUCGAAGAUUUCUUAUGAGAAUCCAAAGAAAGCAAUAGAUAUUUUUCCCACAUACAUACAUACAUACAUAUAUAUUUUUCCCAAAUACACGUAUUUGGGAGAAAUAUACACACAUACAUAUAUACAUACAUAUAUACACAUAUAUACACACACACACAUAUAUAUACACACACACAUACACCCCACAACAUUCAUGAAGCAUUGCAUAUAUUUUCAUGAGUUUUAUAGAGCAUCCCUAUCCUUCAUAAAGCCUACUUAUGGGAAGGUUAAGACUUUUACUGUUAUACGAGUCUUUAGAAGAAUGUGUUUUAAAAAGUGGGCUUAGAAUUUUGCCAACCUAGGGACAAAAUGUUAGCAGGGUAACCUUGUUAUACAAUUUAGUUUACAUGUGUUAAAAUAUUAUAAUGUAUUUUAAUCUGGUAAUUAGGUAGGAUUUUUUAAAAUUGAGAAAUAUGACUGAAAAAUUCAAAUAGUGCUAAAACUAAGUCAGUCUACAUUUGUAAAUAAUUUAGAGAAAAAUUCUCAUUAGUUACUGAUAAUCAUUAUUAAACAUCAACUAUAUUUCAGAUAUUGAAAUAAGUGAAUAUGAGUUAAAGUUAAGGAGAUCAUAUUCUAGGAGUGAGAAAGACAUGUCAAAUAUACAGUAGAAAUGGGAGAAUUUUAAGAAGUGAAUUGAUAAAAUAAUCAUUAAUAUUUAUUAAUUGUGUGCUAGAUUUCAGGAUUGUAUUAAUUACAAAUUCAUCUAGAUGAUACUGUAUAUGAAUUUCUCAUUCUAUUUUUAUAACAAUGUGAGAUAAAUACUUUUACUUUUACUUUUUUUUUUAAAGGCAAACUAACACAGAGCCUGAUUAAUUUGCUAGGGUUACUCAUCUGGGAAAGCGCGAAAGUAGGAACUGAGACCCUGGCUGUGUGAAACAUAGCCUUCGUCUCUGAAUAUCGCAUCAUCUAGAUUUGCUUCUUCAAAAGCUACCUAUAUAGUAGGACAAUGGGGAAUGAAUGGGAGGAGGAGACUAAGGAAGGAAAUGAGUUAUAGGGAAGUUUGUUUGUUUAUGCCGCAGGCUUUUAAUAACCAAAUCUUUAUGUUAGACAGAAAUGAAAAUAUGUAAGAGGUUGUACUGAGUGACUAAUUAGAUUCAAGGGAUUAUAGAGAAAGGAAAAAACAAUAGUGACUCCUGGGUUCCUGACUUAAAUGACAUGGAGAGUGAUGGUGUCUGAGAUAGGAAAUCAAAGAAGAGUUUGGGGAAAAGGAGGAAAUGUGACCAAGAAUCAGUUAAGAUUAUUGAAAUAAGACUACCUCAGGACGUCUGAUAGACCAUUAAACAUAUGGGUCUAUAGCUCAAGAAAGAGUACAGGAAUGCUCAAAUUAUGGGUCAUAGACCUAUGAGUGGCUCUGAGAUACUUUUAGAGGAUCCAUAAUGUCAAACUAUUUAAAUAAUAGUCUAAUACAUUAUUUGCCUUUUUCAUUCUAUUGAUAUUUGCAGUGAUGCUACAAAGCAAUAGCCUUAGACAAUUGAAAGCAGUGAUACAAAACUGUUCUAUUCUUCAUCUCCACAUACUCGUUGCUUAAAAAUAAAAAGGUAAUUUCACUUAAGAAUGUGGAUGCAGCAAAAGUUACUAAUUUUAUAAAAUCUCAACCUUUGAGAUUUUAAUAUCUUAAUAUUUUGUGUGACAAAAUGGGAAACAUAGAGUACUUCUGCUUCAUAUGAACGUACACUUAUUGUCUCAAGAGUAAAAUACUUGUGCCCUUGUUCACGUGGUAAACUGAACCAGCCAUUUUUUUAAUGCGAUACCAUUUGUUCUUGAAAGAACAACUGACAUGUCAACUAUGGUUAUUCAGACAUGGGCAUUUGGCAGACAUUUUUCUCAAAAAUGAAAUGAGCCUAUCACAACCACUACUAUGAGUUUUGCAACUUUCCAAUAUUUAAAGACUUUUCUGAUAAUAUUGGUGGUGAUGUUGAAGAUGUAUUUUCUAUAUAGGCGUUAUAUAAUGAAACUUGUCAACAUUUCAAAAAUUAGUACAACUGGGAGGACCAAUCUUUUACAAAUGUCCAAUAUAGGAUGUUACAAAAUUCUGCAUAAGUAAAACAUAUAUUCAAAGGGCAAGCUAGAGGAGUGGUUUAAAAAUGUAAGAGUAUGGAAAGCUCAUUGCUAUGGUUUCAGAAUCCAUGUUGUAACUACACAUUUGGCAACUGACACUUGUCAAAAUUUGGUAUGCUGUCAAAGAAGACUAUCCACACUUAUCUGAGAAAGCUAUAAAAGCCAUGCAUGGUGGCAUGGGCCUGUGAUCUGAACUACUUGAGGGGGUGGUGAGGUGGGAGGAUCACUUGAGGCCAGAAGUUCAAGGAUUCGGUGAGCUAUGAUGGCGCCACUGCGGCACUUCAACUCCCGCCUGGGUAACAGAGGGAGAGACUGCCUCCAAAAGAAACAGAAAGAAAAAAAAAAAAA